AUAGAGAAACUGCAAAACACGUGUGGAGUUCAAAUAAUCGCAAUAUUGAGAAGACCGAAAUUAUAGAAAGAGGGAAAAAAUUGUGAUUAACUUUCAUAAAUCACGUGAAGAUUACUUUUACAACAUAAUGAAAAUAUUCUUUAACGUUUAUCUGAUAAUGGCACUAAUGGCUAUUAUGAUUUCAUCGGUGAUCUGUCAACGAUACAAUCCUAAUAAGCUACAUAAUACUCAGAACCAAGGGCGCGGCUAUAGAGAAAUCGAACUGACUGAUUAGCAAAUAUGCAAAAUGCAGAUACUGCAGAUUUACAAAUAUAUUCAAAUAUAUAAAAUCAAUUGCUAAUUCAAGAAUUAUUUAAUAAUCUAAUGAAAAAGACGAACUAAUUUGAGAGUUAUGAAUUAACAAAAUAAUAUUUAGAAAAAAUAAAGUUUAAUUUUCUCUUGCUAA